rnacentral:rRNA from 1 species
UAGUGCGUAUUCAGCCUUCUGGGCGCGUGAUUGGUGUUUGUGCAUUGCCGCAAGGUGUGCCUGGCGCUAUUGUCGCGUGUUCGGUUGGUGCAUUUGCGUACGGAGUGCGCCGGGUUGUGUGGUGUUGUCGGACGAUGCGCGUUUAGAGGACCCGGGCUUCGGCGCUGGGAACCCUGGGCGUGCGGAGUUCGGUUGGCGCUGCGCAGCUUUGUGGAGACGUGGGUUUUUCGCGUGCCGCGGUGUCGACAGGCUCGGUUCGGGUGGUACACAUGUGUGCAGCCCUUAUGGGGUCGGUCGGUGUUGUGGUGUGCUCUGCGUUCUUCCCGGUGUUCAGUCGGUGACCCAUUCGACCCGUCUUGAAACACGGACCAAGGAGUUUAUGGUAUGCGCAAGUCAUUGGGUUUGUCGAAGCCUAAAGGCGUAAUGAAAGUGAGACAUUACUUGUCUGAACGUGACUGGGUGCGGCAUUCGUGCGGCCCAAGCAACGUUGCCCCGUUUCGAGGACUUGUCCUGAUGCGGAGGUUGAGCGUAUGCUAUGAGACCCGAAAGAUGGUGAACUAUGCCUGGAAGCAGGA